rnacentral:rRNA from 1 species
AGAAUCAGUGAUAACACGUUGAAUACUCCAAUCCAGUUACUAAUUAUCUAAUUAAUAGAUCACUAAAGUUAACCGACGUUGUGCGUGGUUGGUAUCCGGGUGCGUGACCAUCUGGGCAAACGCGUUCUGCUACCU